AGGGUUUGAUCAUGGCUCAGAACGUACGCUGGCGGCACGCCUAACACAUGCAAGUCGAACGAAGUAGCAAUACUUAGUGGCAGACGGGUGAGUAACAUGUGGGUAUCUGCCCUUUGGCCUGGAAUAACACGAGGAAACUUGUGCUAAUACUGGAUAAGUCUUUACGGAGAAAGCUUUAUGCACCAUUGGAUGAGCCCGCACUUGAUUAGUUUGUUGGUGGGGUAAUGGCCUACCAAGACUGUGAUCAAUAGCUGAUUUGAGAGGAUGAUCAGCCACAUUGGGACUGAGACACGGCCCAAACUCCUACGGGAGGCAGCAGUGGGGAAUCUUGCACAAUGGAGGAAACUCUGAUGCAGCGAUGCCGCGUGAGUGAAGAAGGCCCUUGGGUUGUAAAGCUCUUUCGUCGGGGAAGAAAAUGACUGUACCCGAAUAAGAAGGUCCGGCUAACUUCGUGCCAGCAGCCGCGGUAAUACGAAGGGACCUAGCGUAGUUCGGAAUUACUGGGCUUAAAGAGUUCGUAGGUGGUUGAAAAAGUUGGUGGUGAAAUCCCAGAGCUUAACUCUGGAACUGCCAUCAAAACUUUUCAGCUAGAGUUUGAUAGAGGAAAGCAGAAUUUCUAGUGUAGAGGUGAAAUUCGUAGAUAUUAGAAAGAAUACCAAUUGCGAAGGCAGCUUUCUGGAUCAUUACUGACACUGAGGAACGAAAGCAUGGGUAGCGAAGAGGAUUAGAUACCCUCGUAGUCCAUGCCGUAAACGAUGUGUGUUAGACGUUGGAAAUUUAUUUUCAGUGUCGCAGCGAAAGCGAUAAACACACCGCCUGGGGAGUACGACCGCAAGGUUAAAACUCAAAUGAAUUGACGGGGACCCGCACAAGUAGUGGAGCAUGUGGUUUAAUUCGAAGAUACGCGCAGAACCUUACCAACACUUGACAUGUUCGUCGCGACUUUAAGAGAUUAAAGUUUUCGGUUCGGCCGGACGAAACACAGGUGCUGCAUGGCUGUCGUCAGCUCGUGUCGUGAGAUGUUGGGUUAAGUCCCGCAACGAGCGCAACCCUCACUUUUAGUUGCCAUCAUUUAGUUGGGCACUCUGAAAGAACUGCCAGUGAUAAGCUGGAGGAAGGUGGGGAUGACGUCAAGUCCUCAUGGCCCUUACGUGUUGGGCUACACACGUGCUACAAUGGUAUCUACAACAGGAAGCGAAACAGCGAUGUUAAGCAAAUCCUUAAAAGAUACCUCAGUUCGGAUUGCACUCUGCAACUCGAGUGCAUGAAGCUGGAAUUACUAGUAAUCGUGGAUCAGCGUGCCACGGUGAAUGCGUUCCCGGGUCUUGUACACACCGCCCGUCACACCAUGGGAGUUGGUUCUACCUUAAGGCAAGGUUUAAUACCCUUGACCACGGUAUAGUCAGCGACUGGGGUGAAGUCGUAACAAGGUAGCCGUA
rnacentral:rRNA from 1 species